rnacentral:rRNA from 1 species
UUCUGGUUGAUCCUGCCGGCGGGCACCGCUAUUGGAGUUCGCUUAAGCCAUGCGAGUCGAGAGGGGUAAGCCCUCGGCGCACUGCUCAGUAACACGCGGACAAUCUGCCCUCGAGACGGGGAUAAUCCCGGGAAACUGGGAAUAAUACCCGAUAGGUCUGGGAUGAUGGAAGGCUCCCUGGCCAAAAUCUUCCGGGGCUCGAGGAUGGGUCUGCGGCCUAUCAGGUCGUAGGGGGUUUUACGGACCCCCUAGCCGAAGACGGGUACGGGCUUUGGGAGAAGUCGCCCGGAGAUGGAUUCUGAGACACGAAUCCAGGUCCUACGGGACGCAGCAGGCGCGAAACCUCCACAAUGUGGGCAACCACGAUGGGGGAACUCCAAGUGCUUACACUUUUGUGUAAGCUGUUCUCGAGCCUAAAAAGCUCGAGAAGUAAGGGCCGGGUAAGACGGGUGCCAGCCGCCGCGGUAAUACCCGCGGCCCGAGUGGUGCUCAUUAUUAUUGAGCCUAAAGCGUCCGUAGCUGGCCGGGCAAAUCUCCGGGUAAAUCGGGCCGCUCAACGGUCCGAAUUCCG